AUUAGUACGUUUCUCUGCCAUGUGUGCGUAAAAAUGUUUACUAGACUGUAAACUGUAUACAGAAAGAUUGAAAUGUCUACAUUUUUAGAUAUUCUAAGCAGAUGAACAUUUAGGUUCAAGAAAAUGCUAACAAGGACAGAAGAAAAAGAGAGAGAGUACAGGGUCACGGGGAGCCUGGUGAUCAUCCGACGAAGUACAGAGAGUAGUCAGGAUAGACGUCACACCAAUUUCAUUUGGCCAAAUGCUGGAAUUCUGAAAUUUGGAAUUCUCAAUUUUUCUACCUGAGGAUUGACUUCUCCAGAUAUCGGCCUGUCUUGCACUGUGACCCCGACUACUUCUCUGCCUCCUGGUUGCCCCAUCCCUUCAAUUAACUCCCCUGUUUUCACCAUACGGGUCUCAUGUCCUUCCUGUAUUUCUGCCGUGACAAUCACCUGGGAUUGGGAAAGCGAAAUACAAUUUUUACAAUUACUGGAUGCGUGACCUGAAAAUGUGAAAGUUAAUAAAUGUGUUUUUACCUGAAUGCUGUGAGUUCAUGUAGUGACAUGUAGAUCUGAAUGUAUACUUAUUAAUUUAUUGCAUAUUCCACUUGCAUUUUUGUUGCAGAAUCUUUCCCCAUCAACAAGGUGGUUACUUAUAUUCAUUUGUAUAU